UACGUAGGGUGCGAGCGUUGUCCGGAAUUAUUGGGCGUAAAGGGCUCGUAGGCGGUUUGUCGCGUCGGGAGUGAAAACACCGGGCUUAACUCGGUGCUUGCUUUCGAUACGGGCAGACUAGAGGUAUGCAGGGGAGAACGGAAUUCCUGGUGUAGCGGUGAAAUGCGCAGAUAUCAGGAGGAACACCGGUGGCGAAGGCGGUUCUCUGGGACGGUACUGACGCUGAGACGCGAAAGCGUGGGGAGCGAACAGG
rnacentral:rRNA from 1 species